rnacentral:misc_RNA from 1 species
GGUUAAACCAAGUUAUCACUGAUGCUGGAGAGAAAGAUCUUUCUAACUUAUCUUCAGAACCUCUGCAAAUUGAGAGUGUGCUCAACUCUUCUCAAAACGAGUUCCUACCGUCAUGGUUCCAGUAUUUCAACAAAGAGCUAGUACGUACGGUCUCUUUUUCAGAACAUGAAGCUUUUGACCAUCCUGUGACAUGUCUUUUGGCUGUUUCUUCACGGGAUGAAGAUCCUAUCAACAAAUUUGUUGACCUUUUUAACACAAGCAAAUUGCCCUCUCUUCUAAAUG